rnacentral:rRNA from 1 species
CCUUGACUCUGGGAUAAGCCUGGGAAACUGGGUCUAAUACCGGAUAUGACUGAUCAUCGCAUGGUGGUUGGUGGAAAGCUUUUGUGGUUUUGGAUGGACUCGCGGCCUAUCAGCUUGUUGGUGGGGUAAUGGCCUACCAAGGCGACGACGGGUAGCCGGCCUGAGAGGGUGACCGGCCACACUGGGACUGAGACACGGCCCAAACUCCUACGGGAGGCAGCAGUGGGGAAUAUUGCACAAUGGGCGAAAGCCUGAUGCAGCGACGCCGCGUGAGGGAUGACGGCCUUCGGGUUGUAAACCUCUUUCAGUAGGGAAGAAGCGUAAGUGACGGUACCUGCAGAAGAAGCGCCGGCUAACUACGUGCCAGCAGCCGCGGUAAUACGUAGGGCGCAAGCGUUAUCCGGAAUUAUUGGGCGUAAAGAGCUCGUAGGCGGUUUGUCGCGUCUGCCGUGAAAGUCCGGGGCUCAACUCCGGAUCUGCGGUGGGUACGGGCAGACUAGAGUGAUGUAGGGGAGACUGGAAUUCCUGGUGUAGCGGUGAAAUGCGCAGAUAUCAGGAGGAACACCGAUGGCGAAGGCAGGUCUCUGGGCAUUAACUGACGCUGAGGAGCGAAAGCAUGGGGAGCGAACAGGAUUAGAUACCCUGGUAGUCCAUGCCGUAAACGUUGGGCACUAGGUGUGGGGGACAUUCCACGUUUUCCGCGCCGUAGCUAACGCAUUAAGUGCCCCGCCUGGGGAGUACGGCCGCAAGGCUAAAACUCAAAGGAAUUGACGGGGGCCCGCACAAGCGGCGGAGCAUGCGGAUUAAUUCGAUGCAACGCGAAGAACCUUACCAAGGCUUGACAUGAACCAGACCGGGCUGGAAACAGUCCUUCCCCUUUGGGGUUGGUUUACAGGUGGUGCAUGGUUGUCGUCAGCUCGUGUCGUGAGAUGUUGGGUUAAGUCCCGCAACGAGCGCAACCCUCGUUCCAUGUUGCCAGCGGGUAGUGCCGGGGACUCAUGGGAGACUGCCGGGGUCAACUCGGAGGAAGGUGGGGACGACGUCAAAUCAUCAUGCCCCUUAUGUCUUGGGCUUCACGCAUGCUACAAUGGCCGGUACAAAGGGUUGCGAUACUGUGAGGUGGAGCUAAUCCCAAAAAGCCGGUCUCAGUUCGGAUUGGGGUCUGCAACUCGACCCCAU